UAAUAAGUGUUUUAUGGCACUUUUUAAAUCCAUAUCCACCUUGUGUGCAAUGCCAGGUCGAUCUUCUUCAUGGAGAUCGACCAAACAUCAACCUUUAUCUUUUAACUCUUUGUCUGAAAAAUAUUAUGAAUAAACAAUUCAAAUA
rnacentral:misc_RNA from 1 species